rnacentral:rRNA from 1 species
GACGAACGCUGGCGGCGUGCUUAACACAUGCAAGUCGAACGGAAAGGCCCUGCUUGCAGGGUGCUCGAGUGGCGAACGGGUGAGUAACACGUGGGUGAUCUGCCCCUUACUUUGGGAUAAGCCUGGGAAACUGGGUCUAAUACUGGAUAGGACCAUGCUGUAGGUGGUGUGGUGGAAAGAUUAGUUUCGGUAAGGGAUGAGCUCGCGGCCUAUCAGCUUGUUGGUGGGGUAAUGGCCUACCAAGGCGUCGACGGGUAGCCGGCCUGAGAGGGUGGACGGCCACAUUGGGACUGAGAUACGGCCCAGACUCCUACGGGAGGCAGCAGUGGGGAAUAUUGCACAAUGGGCGCAAGCCUGAUGCAGCAACGCCGCGUGGGGGAUGACGGCCUUCGGGUUGUAAACUCCUUUCAGCCAUGACGAAGCCCUUGUGGUGACGGUAGUGGUAGAAGAAGCACCGGCUAACUACGUG